rnacentral:rRNA from 1 species
UACGAAGGGGGCUAGCGUUGCUCGGAAUCACUGGGCGUAAAGCGUGCGCAGGCGGUCUGUUAAGACCGAUGUGAAAUCCCCGGGCCUAACCUGGGAACUGCAUUGGUGACUGGCAGGCUUUGAGUGUGGCAGAGGGAGGUAGAAUUCCACGUGUAGCAGUGAAAUGCGUAGAGAUGUGGAGGAAUACCGAUGGCGAAGGCAGCCUCCUGGGCCAACACUGACGCUCAUGCACGAAAGCGUGGGGAGCAAACAGG